ensembl:lncRNA
ACACAUCUCCAUGCUGGACUACAACCCACGCGAGAGGGUCCUCUACACCUGGAACAACGGGCACCAGGUGCUCUACAACGUCACUCUGUUCCACGUCGUCGAGACGGCUGGAGAGCUCUGAGCCUCCCCUCUCUGUGCUGUUGUGGCACAAUGGGAGCCUUCCUCCUCCUCUUCCUCAACUGAUUUUGUCCACCUGGGUUCCAUCAUGCCGUGCUCUGAGCCUCAGCACUCUUCCCUGUGCUAUUGUGCCACAUUCAGAGCCUCUCUCCUCCUCUUCCUCACUUCUUUUUGCACAUUUGGGUUCCAUCAUGCCAUGUUCUGAGCCCCAACGUCCUCCUCUUUGUUCUCAUGCCAUGAUUGGAGCCUUCCUUCUCCUCUUCCUCAAUUGGUUUUGCACAUUAGGCUUCCAUCAUGUCACGCACUGAGUCCCAACGCUCUCCUCUUUGCCUUUGUGCUGUGGUUGGAGCCUUCCUCCUCCUCUUCCUCCGCUGAUUUUGCACAUCUGGGUUCCACCAUGCCAUGCUCUGAGACCCAGCGUUCUCCUCUUUGCAUUUGUGCCAUGGUUGGAGCCUUCCUCCUCCUCUUCCUCCAUUGGUUUUGCACAUAUGGGUUCCCCAUGUGAUGCUCUGGGCCCCAAUGCUCUCCUCUUUGUCCUCAUGCCAUGACUGGAGCCUUCCUCUUCCUCUUCCUCGACUGGUUUUGUACAUUCGUGUUCCAUGAUGCCAUGCUUGGGGCCCCAGCACUCGUCCAUUUGCCUUUGUGCCAUGGUUGGAGCCUUCAUCCUCCUCCUCUUCCUCCUCCUCUUCCUCCAUUGAUUUUGCACAUCCGGGUUCCACCAUGUGAUGCCAACGCUCUCCCGUUUGCCUUUGUGCCACACUUGGAGCCUUCCUCCUCCUCCUCUUCCUCCUUUCUUUGUGCUCAUUCAGAGCCUUCCUCCUCCUCCUCCUCCUCCUCCUCUUCCCCCCCCCCCCCCCCGGUGCUGUGCUCUGUUGGUUCCAUUUCCAUUUCCCCCAUUUUUUGGUCUGUUUGACAGCAAAUAAAUGCUCUGUGCCAUCAGCCAUCGCUG